rnacentral:rRNA from 1 species
GAUGAACGCUAGCUACAGGCUUAACACAUGCAAGUCGAGGGGAAACGAUAGAGAAAGCUUGCUUUUUCUAGGCGUCGACCGGCGCACGGGUGAGUAACGCGUAUCCAACCUGCCCACCACUUGGGGAUAACCUUGCGAAAGUAAGACUAAUACCCAAUGACGUCUCUAGAAGACAUCUGAAAGGGAUUAAAGAUUUAUCGGUGAUGGAUGGGGAUGCGUCUGAUUAGCUUGUUGGCGGGGUAACGGCCCACCAAGGCUACGAUCAGUAGGGGUUCUGAGAGGAAGGUCCCCCCACAUUGGAACUGAGACACGGUCCAAACUCCUACGGGAGCAGCAGUGAGGAAUAUUGGGUCAAUGGGGCGAGAGCCUGAACCAGCCAAGUAGCGUGCAGGGAUGACGGCCCUAUGGGUUGUAAACUGCUUUUUAUAAGGGAAUAAAGUGAGCCUCGUGAGGCUUUUUGCAUGUACCUUUAUGAAAUAAGGGACCGGCUAAUUCCGUGCCAGCAGCCGCGGUAAC